AAAUCACACUUCCCUGCCAGGCACGCUCACCGCCUGUCUCUGGGCUAUUUUUGCCGCAUCCUUUUGGAGGCACAGCAGCCGGAACGGAGCACGGCGACUUCAGCACUCAAAGGCAGACCGUGAGCUUUAAUGGAGCUGCUGGCAUUAUAAUAUUCGCGCUCGCCUUCCCCAUUGCUUUCCUAAUAUAGCCCGACACCGACCGGGAUUUUCAACUGUGGCGGCGCGCGGAGCAGCUCCCUGCUGUCCUGUCACCCCUGACCUGGCAGGGACGCGCACACGAGUGGCGGGAGCAGAGCGAGGCGAUGCGUGGUGCCGUGGCACGGCUUGCCCUCGACGUUCUUCAUCCCCCCGGGCGCUGGAGCAGCGUGGAGCUGAUAGAAAGCAGAUAGCAAGCUGCCUUUCAUUAGGGAGCAGUCUCGCAGGAGCGCCGGCUCCCACCACGGGGCCCCGCUCGCACCCAGCGGGCUGCGACGCCGGCGGCUGUGCCGCGCUCCCCAGGCAGGCACCGGGCGGCGUUCCCCGGAGCAUCCCACGGCACCUUCGUGGCACUGGCUGCAUCCUGCUGGGGACGGGGUGACAGCCACGGCAGGCUGAGGUCCUGCACACAGGUUGGUGCCACCUGGAGAAGCCCACAAGGGACCCGGUGCUCGUGGCUGAGCGUGCCGGGGCCGUCCCACCUGGCCGCAGCUCCGCGGCCUCCCGCUUCCUGCGCUCCCCCCGCCACCCUCCUCGGCACGGCUGGGGCCUCGCAGCUACAACCAGGAAACUAUAAAACUUUACAGAGUGCGGCUGGAGAGAAACAGGAAUUGCUGCAGUAACUGCCAGAAGGGCCAGCGUUAGAUUCACAAGAUUUUCCAGGGCUUGGACUCGCCAGGAAGGGAUUUAUCCACCUAGGAGGAGCUGUAAAAACUAAAAUUAAAUUCUUCAUCUCGGAGAGGGAGGGGGGAGAGAGAAGAAAAUGCUUGACCUCCCUCCUGAAUGCUCUGCUGGAGGCCAAGGGGCUGAGGGGGACGCGGGGCAUCAGCAGCUGCACCUGCAGCACCCUGGGGGUCUGCCCCCAAACCCUGCGUGGGGGUGCUGUGCGUCCCGGACCCUCCGGUCCUUUGCCUUUAGGAUACCAUCGGGGGGCUCUGCAGGUGCCAAGCAAGCCCUGGACUCGCAGCCUCCAGUUGGGGAAGCGGCCGGGAGAAGCCAGGCUCCUGACACGCGGAGGCAAAGAUCAAACGGCGCUCGCUUGGCAACCUCCAGCCCUGUGCCAGGGGACAGAGGGGUGUCCUGUGCUCAUCCAUCCAGGUUGGGGAGCCGAACCCAUGUGCUGAGUGCUGGGGAACCCACACCCAACAAAGUUCGUGCAGAACCACCCUGCCCGAGAGCCCGUCUGCUCCGUGCGGACACCCCGGUGCCACGCUGCUGGCCGGCCCUCCCCAGGGCUGAUGCACUGGAUUUGAUUUGCAUCGUUUUCCUUUUAUCUGAGUGUAUUUUCUUCCCCCCACUGCCUGCCACAGAUUUUACACUGAACGCAGCAGAGCACUGCUGUGAAAGUAUGUAUGGGGAGCGCUCUUUUGUCGCUUAUUCUGGUUUUCUUUCUUUCUUUUUUUUUUUUCUCCUUCUUUUUUGCCCAUUACUGCCAGUGCAGGCUCUUAAAAUAACUAGCUACUUUAACCCGCGUCCCUUUGUUCCCUGCCCGAGCACGGCUGGGUGCCGUCUUGCGAGGGAGGGAGGUGAAGUGUCAGGGCCCCGCGGAGAGCUUGAAAGGAGCUUUGUGGUGGGGGGGGACAGGGUGCUGCGCCCCGAGCCCCUGCGUCCCCUGGUGCGCCCCGCUCCCUCCAUCCAGGCUGUGGGGUUCCCUGGGGAGAUUUGGGAUGGAGGCCACGUGGCUGCCUUGACCCCAGUGUGGGAAAGGGCAACGGCGAAGCAGGUCGGGGGCUGGAUCCAGCCCCGUUGGGAAGCGAUGGCAAAGCCUGGGCUCAGCCCUGCCCAGCCAAAAACGGGGGAAGAAGACGCAACCCCAUCAGGAUGGGCUCCUUGGCACCUCCCCAAGCAAUGUGGGGGAGCCCGGCCCCCUGCAUCCUCACAGUGCUCCUAGGGAGGCAGCAGCAGGGGGAUCCCUUUGGCCAGAGGGGGACUGGGGUGCGCCUGGCGGGGCGCUGCCAGCGGGCUGGGCUCCACCGCCCGCAGGGAGCUGGGGCUGGGCUGGAGCCCGGCUUGGAAGCGUUAAGUCGGAGGCCCGUGCCGUGCCCGGGCACGUCCCCGCUUUGUUUAUUCCUUCGGCUUAUUAUUUUGUUCAACUAUUUAUUCCUGGCUGCCUUUUUCUCACGGUUGCUGUGUUUAUUUAGCGCAGCUCGCCUGGAGCCCUCCGGCUCCUCGCGCUGCUGCUGAGCGCAGCCACAACCCCAGUGCAGCAAGUGCAGCCCCGGGAGCCCCGUGCUGAGGUUUCCCAAACAUUGAGUCCACGCUGCACGCAGGGGUGAGCUGGUUUAUCGAGAGGACAGCGGGCAGGGGGUGGCAGCAUGCAGGGCAGGGCUCGUGUGUGCCCCGUGCCACCAACACAAGGUGUGCCUGCCCACCGCCACGACCUGCGGGGCCAGGGGGGCUGCACAGAGCACAGAAACCCCAGGCAGAAAGGAGACAAGUUUGGGAAGUGGCCCACAAAGUGAUGCCAUCACCCUGCCAUGAGUGAUGCUGCCAGGGGACCCCAUCCCCGCCAGCCCGCCAAGCUGCUGGGUGGUCACCGAGCCUGUCCCUGGUGGCACCAAGGAGCCCCCAGCCCUCGGCCUGGCCAUGGCUCACCCCGGUGGUCCCAAGCCCUGUGGAGCAUCCCUGUGCCGGGGCAGCCCCUGGGGACCCGAAGCGCCGGGGCCGGGGAGCCAUGGCAACCCGGCGAGGAUGGGGGUUGCCAUGGUGACGGGAGGCGCAGCAUCCGGAGCGGCUUCGGGCGAGGGAUGCUCCAGGUGGGAUGCGAGGCAGGGCCGGGUACCCCCAGGGCUGGUGUGGGGAGGGAAAGGGGUGACACUGUGGGUGUGGGGCUCAGGAAGCCCCCCCUGCCCCACAGGCUGCCCCUGGCCCCAAAUCACCUUGGGAGCAGGGGGCUGAGGGGGUCCUGAGGCAGGGCUGGGAGCCUUCCCUGGCAGCAGGGAAGGGGCGAGGGGAGAGAGGAGGGAAGCGACCUCCCAGCUGGGUGUGACAUUUGCCAGAUGCUGAUGCUGCGUUUGAUAGCGGGGGGCACGCUGCUGCCCACAGGCACCCACAUUUCGCACACCCCCUGGCAGCUGGGGCUGGGCCCCCACCCCGCAGCCUUCUCCCCUGGGUCCCCCGGUGCUGUGCUGGAGGAGCCACACAAGGCCUGGUGGCUCCUUUCCCUUUCACACCUGGUGUGCAGAGCAGCAGGGAGGGGGCACAGGGAACCAACACAAUAUUUAUUUUUUUCUGCUGUAGCAUUUCCCAGCACCACCAUACAGAAGGGGACAGCGGCACCGGGAACCCCGCAGCGUGCGCCCCACGGCUCUGCGCGGCCCCAUUAUGCACCAACCCUGCUGGGACUUCCCAAGGGCUCAUCCUCCGCACGGCGCCCAGCUCCGGAGCCAGGUUGGCAGCCCCCCUUCCUCCCCGUGAUGCUCCCAGCCCUUGGAGGGCUCAGCCCUUUUCCCCCUGUGCAGGAAAUGUGGCGGGGCUGUGCCGCCAGCGUGUGCCGGCGAAGCGGGCUCGCGAGCGCUCGCAGCGAUUCCAACGCCCGGAGCUUGCGGCUGGGCUUCGCCUCCUAAGCCUGCUUCCAACUCCUUGCGCGGGGAGCAGCGAUUUGUCUGCAAAUGUAUGCGGUUAAAAUAAACGCCGAGAAUUUUAAUCCUGGGAAUUUGGA
rnacentral:lncRNA from 1 species